rnacentral:rRNA from 1 species
CAUGAGUUAUGUCAUGUUAUCGACAUGUGAAUUCAUAGCAUGUCAGAAGGCAGACCCGGAGAACUGAAACAUCUUAGUACCCGGAGGAAGAGAAAGAAAAAUCGAUUCCCUGAGUAGCGGCGAGCGAAACGGGAAGAGCCCAAACCAACAAGCUUGCUUGUUGGGGUUGUAGGACACUCUAUACGGAGUUACAAAAGAACAUGUUAGACGAAUCAUCUGGAAAGAUGAAUCAAAGAAGGUAAUAAUCCUGUAGUCGAAAACAUAUUCUCUCUUGAGUGGAUCCUGAGUACGACGGAGCACGUGAAAUUCCGUCGGAAUCUGGGAGGACCAUCUCCUAAGGCUAAAUACUCUCUAGUGACCGAUAGUGAACCAGUACCGUGAGGGAAAGGUGAAAAGUACCCCGGAAGGGGAGUGAAAGAGAACUUGAAACCGUGUGCUUACAAGUAGUCAGAGCCCGUUAAUGGGUGAUGGCGUGCCUUUUGUAGAAUGAACCGGCGAGUUACGAUCUGAUGCAAGGUUAAGCAGCAAAUGUGGAGCCGCAGCGAAAGCGAGUCUGAAUAGGGCGUUGAGUAUUUGGUCGUAGACCCGAAACCAGGUGAUCUACCCUUGGUCAGGUUGAAGUUCAGGUAACACUGAAUGGAGGACCGAACCGACUUACGUUGAAAAGUGAGCGGAUGAACUGAGGGUAGCGGAGAAAUUCCAAUCGAACUUGGAGAUAGCUGGUUCUCUCCGAAAUAGCUUUAGGGCUAGCCUCAAGUGAUGAUUAUUGGAGGUAGAGCACUGUUUGGACGAGGGGCCCCUCUCGGGUUACCGAAUUCAGACAAACUCCGAAUGCCAAUUAAUUUAACUUGGGAGUCAGAACAUGGGUGAUAAGGUCCGUGUUCGAAAGGGAAACAGCCCAGACCACCAGCUAAGGUCCCAAAAUAUAUGUUAAGUGGAAAAGG